rnacentral:RNase_P_RNA from 18 species
AAAGUUAGUUGAACAGUCGCUAUUUAAUAUUUCUAUAUUAAAUAGAGGAAAGUCCGGGCUCCGUAAGGCAAGACGCCAGAUAACGUCUGGGAAGAGAAAUCUUACGACUAGUGCCACAGAAAAUAAACUAUCUAUAUAAUUUAAUAGAUACAGGUGAAAAGGUUCGGUAAAAGCGUACCGCAGAAUUGGUAACAAUUUUGGCUAGGUAAACAUCCGUCUGGAGCAAGGCUAAAUAAGAAGAGUAUAGCCUGUACUUAUCUUCGGGUAAGCUGCUUGAAUUAAUAAGUGAUUAUUAAUCUGGAUAAAUGACUGUGUAAACAGAACCCGGCUUAUAAAUUAACUUAUCUU